rnacentral:rRNA from 1 species
AUUGAACGCUGGCGGCAUGCCUUACACAUGCAAGUCGAACGGUAACAGGUCUUCGGACGCUGACGAGUGGCGAACGGGUGAGUAAUACAUCGGAACGUGCCUAGUAGUGGGGGAUAACUACUCGAAAGAGUGGCUAAUACCGCCUGAGAUCUACGGAUGAAAGCAGGGGAUCGCAAGACCUUGUGCUACUAGAGCGGACGAUGGCAGAGUAGGUAGUGGGUGGGAUAAAAGCUUACCAAGCCGACGAUCUGUAGCUGGUCUGAGAGGACGAUCAGCCACACUGAGACUGAGACACGGCCCAGACUCCUACGGGAGGCAGCAGUGGGGAAUUUUGGACAAUGGGCGCAAGCCUGAUCCAGCAAUGCCGCGUGCAGGAUGAAGGCCUUCGGGUUGUAAACUGCUUUCGUACGGAACGAAAAGCCCUGGGUUAAUACCCUGGGGUCAUGACGGUACCGUAAGAAUAAGCACCGGCUAACUACGUGCCAGCAGCCGCCGUAA